GACGAACGCUGGCGGCGUGCUUAACACAUGCAAGUCGAACGGGAAGGCCCUGCUUUUGUGGGGUGCUCGAGUGGCGAACGGGUGAGUAACACGUGAGUAACCUGCCCUUGACUUUGGGAUAACUUCAGGAAACUGGGGCUAAUACCGGAUAGGAGCUCCUGCUGCAUGGUGGGGGUUGGAAAGUUUCGGCGGUUGGGGAUGGACUCGCGGCUUAUCAGCUUGUUGGUGGGGUAGUGGCUUACCAAGGCUUUGACGGGUAGCCGGCCUGAGAGGGUGACCGGCCACAUUGGGACUGAGAUACGGCCCAGACUCCUACGGGAGGCAGCAGUGGGGAAUAUUGCACAAUGGGCGGAAGCCUGAUGCAGCAACGCCGCGUGCGGGAUGACGGCCUUCGGGUUGUAAACCGCCUUCGCCUGUGACGAAGCGUGAGUGACGGUAAUGGGUAAAGAAGCACCGGCUAACUACGUG
rnacentral:rRNA from 1 species